rnacentral:lncRNA from 1 species
UCAACAUCACGAUUCAUCAUCCUUUAUAGCCCAAUAGACUUUAUGUUCGAGUUCAACGGGAAGGUGGCAUGUUUUUCCAUAGACGAAUCGAUACGGGGUCAUACCUAUAGGUGUUUUGUGAGUCGUCCUCUAUGCCCAUAAUGCUCCAUCUAGCUUGUUUGACCAAUCUUUCCCUUCUUUGAUUACCGUCUUCUUCCAGAUAUCCUUCAAUUGUUAUUAGAAGUUUCUGCUUGUCAAUUUGUUUGAGGAUGAUAGGCUG